CCGGUAAACGGCGGCCGUAACUAUAACGGUCCUAAGGUAGCGAAAUUCCUUGUCGGGUAAGUUCCGACCUGCACGAAUGGCGUAAUGAUGGCCAGGCUGUCUCCACCCGAGACUCAGUGAAAUUGAACUCGCUGUGAAGAUGCAGUGUACCCGCGGCAAGACGGAAAGACCCCGUGAACCUUUACUAUAGCUUGACACUGAACAUUGAGCCUUGAUGUGUAGGAUAGGUGGGAGGCUUUGAAGUGUGGACGCCAGUCUGCAUGGAGCCGACCUUGAAAUACCACCCUUUAAUGUUUGAUGUUCUAACGUUGACCCGUAAUCCGGGUUGCGGACAGUGUCUGGUGGGUAGUUUGACUGGGGCGGUCUCCUCCUAAAGAGUAACGGAGGAGCACGAAGGUUGGCUAAUCCUGGUCGGACAUCAGGAGGUUAGUGCAAUGGCAUAAGCCAGCUUGACUGCGAGCGUGACGGCGCGAGCAGGUGCGAAAGCAGGUCAUAGUGAUCCGGUGGUUCUGAAUGGAAGGGCCAUCGCUCAACGGAUAAAAGGUACUCCGGGGAUAACAGGCUGAUACCGCCCAAGAGUUCAUAUCGACGGCGGUGUUUGGCACCUCGAUGUCGGCUCAUCACAUCCUGGGGCUGAAGUAGGUCCCAAGGGUAUGGCUGUUCGCCAUUUAAAGUGGUACGCGAGCUGGGUUUAGAACGUCGUGAGACAGUUCGGUCCCUAUCUGCCGUGGGCGCUGGAGAACUGAGGGGGGCUGCUCCUAGUACGAGAGGACCGGAGUGGACGCAUCACUGGUGUUCGGGUUGUCAUGCCAAUGGCACUGCCCGGUAGCUAAAUGCGGAAGAGAUA
rnacentral:rRNA from 1 species